AAGUGCGAGCAGGCGCGUGUGACGUCGGGAGGCGCCGCGGCUCCACGGCCGCCCUACUCUGUGGUCCCCGGUCUGGACCCAAACUGCUGACUGGCUGACCCGAGUGGUCACAUUUGCCCUCUGGGGCUUUUGAAAACCUUAAAUCAAAAUUGCUUUUGAAUCUGACAACUCCUGAGGCUACUUUCGCGGCCUCGGGGCUGUUUCAUAUAAGGACGCGAAUUUUCCCGAUCAGGUCGGUCGGCCACGUUACGAUUUCCAAUUUGCGAUCCAUCAGUUACUUCCAUUGGGUCUUCGGCCCCCAGGGACUGUGGAUCGUAGACCCCGCGGAGAAGCCCGUGGACUGGAGCUGUGUCAGCUCUGAUGGAGCGAGACUUCGUCUCAAAAAAAAAAAAAAAAAGGGGGAACUCAUUAUUAGGAACAGAGAACCAUUCAGUUGUAAAGCCAGAAGUAAGGUUAAGAACUUUUGGCCUCAUCUUUCUCAUUUAGAAGUAAGGAAAUUGAUCCUAGAAAAAUUAAUUCAAUUACUCAUAUUUACACAGCUAGUUAAACAGACACUGGAACCCUGGUAAUUAAAGUUGUUCAACUGUAUGCUAUCUGUCUAUUCUUUGUUUUCUGUGUCAAUAAUGCCAUAUUGUUUUAUGUUCCUAGAGUACAAAUAAAUGAAUCAAUAUAGUCACCAGAGAA
rnacentral:antisense_RNA from 1 species